GAUGAACGCUAGCUACAGGCGUUAACUAACAUGCAAGUCGAGGGGCGAGCAUGGUCGUUAGUCUUGUCUAAGGCCGAUGGCGGACCGGCGCACGGGUGGAGUAACACGUAUCCAACCUGCCGUCUACUCUUGGACAGCCUUCUGAAAGGAAGAUUAAUACAAGAUGGCAUCAUGAGUCCGCAUGUUCACAUGAUUAAAGGUAUUCCGGUAGACGAUGGGGAUGCGUUCCAUUAGAUAGUAGGCGGGGUAACGGCCCACCUAGUCUUCGAU
rnacentral:rRNA from 1 species